rnacentral:lncRNA from 1 species
UCAAAAGACGACAACGCUAUCUGGAUGAAUUUUCUUGAAUCAUUCUCUAACCUAAAAUGACAAUAAGUCAUCCUCUCUAGAAUUUACAUCGUCCCGCCAUAUUGAAGUCAUUGAAAAUUUCACUUCUUUUUGUAACUAUAAAUAAUUAACAAAAGUAAAUAAAAUAGUCGAUAAUCGAUGAUCGAUAAUCGAUAGUCGAUAAUC